UCCUAGUGAUUAGAGUUUGAUCAUGGCUCAGAACGUACGCUGGCGGCACGCCUAACACAUGCAAGUCGAACGAAGUAGCAAUACUUAGUGGCAGACGGGUGAGUAACAUGUAGGUAUCUGCCCUUUGGCCUGGAAUAACACGAGGAAACUUGUGCUAAUACCGGAUAAGUCUUUACGGAGAAAGCUUUAUGCACCAUUGGAUGAGCCUGCACUUGAUUAGUUUGUUGGUGGGGUAAUGGCCUACCAAGACUGUGAUCAAUAGCUGAUUUGAGAGGAUGAUCAGCCACAUUGGGACUGAGACACGGCCCAAACUCCUACGGGAGGCAGCAGUGGGGAAUCUUGCACAAUGGAGGAAACUCUGAUGCAGCGAUGCCGCGUGAGUGAAGAAGGCCUUUGGGUUGUAAAGCUCUUUCGUCGGGGAAGAAAAUGACUGUACCCGAAUAAGAAGGUCCGGCUAACUUCGUGCCAGCAGCCGCGGUAAUACGAAGGGACCUAGCGUAGUUCGGAAUUACUGGGCUUAAAGAGUUCGUAGGUGGUUGAAAAAGUUGGUGGUGAAAUCCCAGAGCUUAACUCUGGAACUGCCAUCAAAACUUUUCAGCUAGAGUAUGAUAGAGGAAAGCAGAAUUUCUAGUGUAGAGGUGAAAUUCGUAGAUAUUAGAAAGAAUACCAAUUGCGAAGGCAGCUUUCUGGAUCAUUACUGACACUGAGGAACGAAAGCAUGGGUAGCGAAGAGGAUUAGAUACCCUCGUAGUCCAUGCCGUAAACGAUGUGUGUUAGACGUUGGAAAUUUAUUUUCAGUGUCGCAGCGAAAGCGAUAAACACACCGCCUGGGGAGUACGACCGCAAGGUUAAAACUCAAAUGAAUUGACGGGGACCCGCACAAGUAGUGGAGCAUGUGGUUUAAUUCGAAGAUACGCGCAGAACCUUACCAACACUUGACAUGUUCGUCGCGACUUUAAGAGAUUAAAGUUUUCGGUUCGGCCGGACGAAACACAGGUGCUGCAUGGCUGUCGUCAGCUCGUGUCGUGAGAUGUUGGGUUAAGUCCCGCAACGAGCGCAACCCUCACUUUUAGUUGCCAUCAUUAAGUUGGGCACUCUGAAAGAACUGCCAGUGAUAAGCUGGAGGAAGGUGGGGAUGACGUCAAGUCCUCAUGGCCCUUACAUGUUGGGCUACACACGUGCUACAAUGGUAUCUACAACAGGAAGCAAAACCGCGAGGUUAAGCAAAUCCUUAAAAGAUACCUCAGUUCGGAUUGCACUCUGCAACUCGAGUGCAUGAAGCUGGAAUUACUAGUAAUCGUGGAUCAGCGUGCCACGGUGAAUGCGUUCCCGGGUCUUGUACACACCGCC
rnacentral:rRNA from 1 species